GAUGAAUGCUGGCGGCGUGCCUAACACAUGCAAGUCGAGCGGCAGCGAGGGGUGCUUGCACCCUGUCGGCGAGCGGCGAACGGCUGAGUAACGCGUAGGAAUUUGCCCCAAAGUGAGGAAUAACUGCCCGAAAGGGUAGCUAAUGCCGCAUAUGGUCUUCGGAUUAAAGGAUUUAUCCGCUUUGGGAGAAGCCUGCGUUGGAUUAGGUUGUCGGUAGGGUAAUGGCCUACCAAGCCGACGAUCCAUAGCUGGUCUGAGAGGAUGAUCAGCCAGACUGGAACUGAGACACGGUCCAGACUCCUACGGGAGGCAGCAGUGAGGAAUCUUCCACAAUGGGCGAAAGCCUGAUGGAGCAACGCCGCGUGAAGGAUGAAGGCCUUCGGGUUGUAAACUUCUUUUGUGAGUGAAGAAUAUGACGGUAACUCAUGAAUAAGCACCGGCUAACUACGUG
rnacentral:rRNA from 1 species